UGGAGGCACGCAUCAACGGCUUCGAAUCCGAGAUUGCCCUGAUGACCCUGGCCCCAGAACUGGUGGGGGCCGAUGCA
rnacentral:tRNA from 1 species